GAAGUGCGAUAAGUAGUGUGAAUUGCAGAAUUCAGUGAAUCAUCGAAUCUUUGAACGCACAUUGCGCCCCUUGGUAUUCCAUGGGGCAUGCCUGUUCGAGCGUCAUUUGUACCCUCAAGCUCUGCUUGGUGUUGGGUGUUUGUCCCGUCUCCGCGCGUGGACUCGCCCCAAAGUGAUUGGCAGCCGGCGUACUGGUCCCGGAGCGCAGCACAUGUCGCGCAAACGAGUGCCUUGGUACGGCGGCGUCCAUAAGCCCCUCUCUCACGCUCUUGACCUCGGAUCAGGUAGGGAUACCCGCUGAACUUAAGC
rnacentral:misc_RNA from 1 species